rnacentral:tRNA from 1 species
GGCCGGGUAGCUCAGCGGUAGAGCGUCUGACUACAAACAAGCAUCUUUACAGUAUUCUUAGUAGUCAGAAGGUAGCAGGUUCGAUUCCUGUCUUGGCCA